rnacentral:pre_miRNA from 1 species
UCUUAUGGAUGAACAAAGAAAGUGGUUUCUUGGGAUGGAACGUACCAGUAAUGAAGAUGCUGUGAA